GUGAAUCAUCGAAUCUUUGAACGCAAAUUGCACUCUCUGGUAUUCCGGAGAGUAUGCCUGUUUGAGAGUCAGUUUAAAUAAAAAUCGGUGUGUUUGCGUCCGUUCGUGGUGACGCACCGGAUUUGAGUCGUCUUGCCUACGGUUAAGUGACCUAAAAUUUUUCAUGAAUUUUUUCUUACGUAUUUAAAUGAUUGUGCGUACGUUUGCGAUAUCUAGUACUAGGGG
rnacentral:misc_RNA from 1 species